rnacentral:tRNA from 1 species
GACGUAGCUCAGUUGGUAGAGCCCCGGAUUGUGAUUCCGGUUGUCGUGGGUUCGAUCCCCAUCGU